CCCUUAGAUGUUCUGGGCCGCACGCGCGCUACACUGAUGCAUUCAACGAGUUUCUUCCUGGUCCGAGAGGAAUGGGUAACCUUUUGAAAGUGCAUCGUGAUAGGGAUAGACUAUUGCAAUUAUUGGUCUUCAACGAGGAAUUCCUAGUAGACGUAGUUCAUCAGACUGCAUCGAUUACGUCCCUGCCCUUUGUACACACCGCCCGUCGCUCCUACCGAUUGAAUGCUCAGGUGAGCCAUUCGGACUUUCAUCAUGCUGGUUUCCAGUUUUGAUGAAGGAAAGUCUUGCGAACCUUAUCAUUUAGAGGAAGGAGAAGCCGUAACA
rnacentral:rRNA from 1 species